rnacentral:lncRNA from 1 species
CUCAUCAAGAGGAGGUGACAGCUCACUGUGUUUCCAUUUCCUCUUUCUGAGGAGUGAGGACAUGCUUUCCUCCUGGACAUCUGGAGGGCCAGGCACUGGGACAUGCAUGGUGAGUCCUGCCAGCCAUGUGUGGCGGAGCGGGUACUGGUGUUCCAGUGGUGGCGCAGCCGCUUGGCCCUCAGCAAAGUUCUUGGUAACUCGGGCCUGUUUCCUGAGUAUAAAGCACAGAUGCUGACAGCAUGUCACAGGACUGUCGGGGGUGGGGAAGGCUACUGAAAUGGCGCUUGGAGGGCGCCUGCCCAGACAUGCUGGCUUCUCUGCUUCCGUGGCCCAGAGCCCUCUUCCUUCCUCUGCUGCUCUCAGCCUGGAUGCCACUGUCUUCACAAUCUUGUCCUGGCCCACCAGGUCUAGGAGAAAGCCUGAGUGUGCAGUCACUUCCUAAAAAGCAGCGCGCCAGGCAACGGGCCCGAAAAAAGCACAGGGUUUAUUGGGAGAAUGGGGUGAGGGGCUGUUGCUGUAGAUCUCCACCAGGACCUGGAGAAAACAAAACAAAGAAAAAAAAAGUGACACAGAGACAGAGUGACCCCCAGUCACAAAAUUCUAAAAGUCCCCUAACUUUUAAAUGUGCUUGAAAAGAAAACUGGGUGGCACUGGGAAAAAAGAAACUCUAGUAGCUGAAUUUUAACAAAAUCAGCACAAGGACAGAUCUCCCUGUGAUUGCUGAAUGGAAUUAAAAUGUGGGACCCAAAUUGGGAAUCACAGCACAUGGUUCGGUUUGAGUUGGAAUCAUAUACUUUUGUGAGGUGUAUGUGUCAGCAAUGAGAAUGAUUGAAUAUUAAAAUAGACUGCACCUAGACCUUCUCCAUUACAGCCAGUGUGAAAGCAACACGGAAAUCACCUUUAUCACAGGCAUUACACUGAAAAUUUAACUUGAAAUGUGUUUAUGAAAUAUAGACAUUUUCAUUUAC